GUCAAUGACGAAGACUGUGUGUACUUCCUCUUCUUUUCCCUUUCUCUUCUCCACCUUUCAACAUGUUCGAUUUGUUGAGACGUUGACAUCUCCUGUUGGUGAUCAAUGGGAUUUGGACUUCAUGGGGAGAGACAUUUUGCUGCAUGGAAACUAUAAUGGCUUCCAUGCUGGAUUCCCAGUUAGAUAAUCUAUUAUGCAUAUUCUCAUUCUGUUCGUCAAUGUAUGAUCUCACGAAACAUAAAUUGGUAUCAACAUAACACCGUAUGUGCUCUUGUUGCAGUUGGAAUAAUUCUUCUUGCCUUUGAGAACUGCCUGAUAAUGGGCUUUUUGUAUUUACAAUUCCUGGGCCAUAUGACUGUGAAAUAAAUUUGAUAGAGAAUUAUCCAUGUACGAAUGUAUACCAUGUUGCAUGUAAUCUUGCAAUGAUUUGUUCUGUUGUUCGAACAACAGCUUUUGGUUUUCAAGGAUCUCAUGGUUUAGGGCUCUUGAUUCUUCAACAAAGUCUUCCUUCAAGUUACCACAUAGGCCAAACACAUCCGAUAUCGUAUGCUGCCUGUACAUGCCCAUCAUUUCUUCCAAACGAUCUUCAGUUACACGUCUUGAGGUACCAGACGCAGAACUAGGCCCAACUCCAAUUGAAGUUCUCGAUGUAUCAUGACUUGUCAUUUGUUGUGCACGGAUGUGAUUUGGUAUUGGUUGUACUACAUUCUCUAAUUCUCUAUUGACAAUGGCAUCUAAUAUACUAUGUUCAUUGUCAGCUGGCAGUGACAAAUUUGAGUACCACGGUGUUUCUAAUUCUUCUUCCGUAGGUUGCAGCACUGCAAGGACUUCGAUCUGUAAUCAUCGUAAACAAGUUCGUCUCAUCAAAUUUUUGAAUGUCAAGUUUUACAAAUUUAAUGCGAAUGUCAUUUUACGUUGAAAUUAAAAAAUUCACAUCUCUUCAGUAUCCAAACAUUCUUUAACAAUCGCUUCCUUGAGUAUUGUAUUAGGCCUCCACUUGUACAUUCAUGGACUCUGUACUGUUUUGUACUUACGGCGUCCAAACUUUUGCCCGAUUUGUGGAAAUGUUUUAUAUAUCCAAUACUACAACAUAAUUACAGAUAAAUGUCGAUAUAUAUAAUAUUUUUUUUACAAAGAAAUCAUACAGAAUACGGGAACAAUUAGAAUAGGAACAACAUACCUGAAAUGCAAGUGGAUAGCCUUGUACUGCAUACUUACAUUCUGUUUGUUGGUUUUGUUGCAUCCUUACUAUUCGUUCCAAUUGCGACUCUUUUAACAAAUUUAACAAAAUGAAAUAUGCUUUACAGCCCUAUGAAUACAUGAGGAACUCAUAAAGAUGUUCAACCACACCCAAAGUUCUAUAAUCAAUGUCUUGAAGUCGGUUUCCACACACACUCCACCAACAUAAUUAGUCCCAACUUAAAUUUAUCUUCUUCGUCUUCACAUAUAUGGAAAGUUUCAAAAAGCAUUUUAUUACUAAUUCUUUUUACCCCAUUGAAGUAUUGAUCUCUAAAACGAUCUUUACUAUAGUUAAUUUCAAUGGAUGGUUCAUGGCAAAGUAGUCCAGUAAUUAGGCAAAAUUAUUGCAUGCCGAACCUGGCAACAUGGUUAUCUAAUCGUACCCAAGUUCAUUAUUUUUGCCACUAUCUACAAUUCGCAUUAUAAAUUCAUGUACCAACUUGCUACUAAAUUAUUCUUCUUCUUCCCUGAGCAUGACUCCGUAAGCAAAUACACAAAAAUUACUACACAGUAUAGAACAUUGUUGAUUGGCAUCUAUGAAUUCUACAAAAUUUUUAAUAUAUUCAUGAUUUGGAUACUAGACGAUGGUAGCAAAAAAUAAUUGAUCUGGAGAGAGAACGUAUUCUAAAGAUAUAUGCAUAAAUCACACAAUAAUUAAUAUUUUCAAACAAAU
rnacentral:lncRNA from 1 species